rnacentral:rRNA from 1 species
UACGUAGGGCGCAAGCGUUGUCCGGAAUUAUUGGGCGUAAAGAGCUCGUAGGCGGUCUGUCGCGUCGGCUGUGAAAACCCGAGGCUCAACCUCGGGCCUGCAGUCGAUACGGGCAAACUAGAGUACUGCAGGGGAGACUGGAAUUCCUGGUGUAGCGGUGAAAUGCGCAGAUAUCAGGAGGAACACCGGUGGCGAAGGCGGGUCUCUGGGCAGUAACUGACGCUGGAGGAGCG